rnacentral:rRNA from 1 species
UACGAAGGGGGCGAGCGUUGUUCGGAGUUACUGGGCGUAAAGGGCGCGUAGGCGGCGAUCCAAGUUAGGCGUGAAAGCCCCGGGCUUAACCUGGGAAUUGCGCUUAAGACUGGACUGCUUGAGUGCGGGAGAGGUGAGUGGAAUUCCCAGUGUAGAGGUGAAAUUCGUAGAUAUUGGGAAGAACACCAGUGGCGAAGGCGGCUCACUGGCCCGCAACUGACGCGUGAGGCGCGAAAAGCGUGGGGAGCAAACAGG